GAUUAUUUAUGCUUAUAUCCUGGAAGAUCAAAAAAAGGUCUUCAAAGUUAUUUACCUUUCAACCUUCCAACCAGGCGCGGAUUUCUUUUGAAAUUUCCAUUCGAAUAAUAAUUGCUUAUUCGUUCGAAUUAGAUCAGCAAAGAGAUCGGUUUCAAUCGCUAGUAUCACGCCGAGAUGUAAACCUACGACUUUUUUUUUUCAUUUUUCUUCUCGCGUCGCUUAGUAUCACGUUAUGUGUUCUUCGACGAGUUUAUAUUCUCGGUGCAAAUUACAAGUACAUACAUACGAACAAUAGCCAAGAGUCCAGACUACAGGAAAUAUUUUCACUCUGCAGAAACACUCGGGUCUCGAAUGCAGAUUCAGAGGAGAUGGAGAAAAACAGAAACUCAACCUCGAGACUGAUUUUCCUUCUUCGUUGAAAUCACACAUAGGAUGGUCGAUCGUGCAAACGAAAGUGGGUUGAGGAUUACAAGCUGUUAAAACCGGCAAUUAAAUUGUACUUUACGUCGUGAAAUAUGAAGUCCUAAAACAAUAUGACCAUCGUUGGCUGAUUCCAGUCAUUUAUUUUUCGUGAAUUCUUCAUAAACAACGGAACCGCUAUCUCGGCUAGACAACGAUGACUGGCGAAAAACAUAGUCCACAUCGUCGAUGGCAAAUGAUGGAGAAUUAAUUUUUAAAAUGGUUUAGAGUAGCGUGUACGACGAGUAAUAAUUCACACCUAGUUAUCGAUGUAAAUUAUUAUAAACGUCCAGAUUUAUCGAGUUACGAGUUCAUUACAAGAGUUGUAGAGUUGUA